GGAAGCCCCAAAUUCCCGCAGAUUCCUUUCCACAGUGAAAGUGAUGAACCACUAUCUUGACCCUCUUUUCAAGAGGAGCAGCAUAAGCUCUGCCUACACAGGAUGUAAAGCCAUGAGAUUCAGGUCUGGAAGGCACGGGGAUGACACAAAAGUGGA